GCGCCCGUAGCUCAGUUGGAUAGAGCGGCUGGCUUCGAACCAGCAGGCCGCAGGUUCAAGUCCUGCCGGGCGCA
rnacentral:tRNA from 1 species